GUGCCAGCAGCCGCGGUAAUACGUAGGGUGCGAGCGUUAAUCGGAAUUACUGGGCGUAAAGUGUGCGCAGGCGGCAGAGCAAGUCGAGUGUGAAAGCCCCGGGCUUAACUUGGGAAUUGCGCUCGAAACUACUUUGCUGGAGUGUGGCAGAGGAAGGUGGAAUUCCACGUGUAGCGGUGAAAUGCGUAGAGAUGUGGAGGAACACCAAUGGCGAAGGCAGCCUUCUGGGCCAACACUGACGCUCAUGCACGAAAGCGUGGGGAGCAAACAGGAUUAGAUACCCUGGUAGUCC
rnacentral:rRNA from 1 species